rnacentral:misc_RNA from 1 species
AUCUAUGCCACACGGCUGGGAUCCGACAUUAAGAACUACAAUGGUGAAUUUAUUUUAUUGGGUUUUACUUUUCCUGAGUGGUGAGUUUAUUAGAACAUUUAUCAGUCUUUUUAUCAUUAAAUGAUUUUUAAACAUAAAUAAAUAAAUUCUUUAUUUGAAACGAUAGUUUGGUCUCGAAAUUAAGUAGGGUACGUUCGAUUAUGCAACCAAAUCUCGGUAAAGACAGAUUCAUGCCACGAGACUUGUCUGUAUUUUAAAGAGAAAUAUGGGUGUGCCGAAAGAAAUAUCAUAUGACAAAUAUUAUUUGGAGUUCCUCUUUCUUCUCUUUGUUGAAUCUAAUGCAAUAGAACUAUUAAAUCUUCGUCAUGAAAGUUUUAUCUUAUCUUCAAUUUUGUACGUCGUCAUUUCAACAUGCCCAUUUUGUUCAAUUUUUUUCAGUUGCAAUUUUUCAGACAAGAUACAAUUUUUAUGAAUAAAAGAGAAAUGAUUAACAGGAGGUUAUCCUUAUUUUCUAAACACGCUCGUGUAAAACUUGCACAAAUAGUAAAUAUUCUGUUUAAUUUGUUUGAGAAAACUAGAACACGAAGAUCUAAGUCAGUUCCCCUUGUCUUCCUAAACUGAUUAUUCUUAUGUCAGCGAGAGAUUACUGGCAACAUAUGUCAAUGAGUUAAAAAAAAAGGCCAAAAUAUCUCGAAGAUCUUUAUUACUUAACUUCUAGAGCUUACAUCCCGAUCCCAGCAUAGCAUACCCCUGCUUGCUUCAGUAAACCAAUGGCGUGUAUUUCAUCACAAG